rnacentral:rRNA from 1 species
UCCAGACUCCUACGGGAGGCAGCAGUGGGGAAUAUUGCACAAUGGGGGAAACCCUGAUGCAGCAACGCCGCGUGAGUGAAGAAGUAUUUCGGUAUGUAAAGCUCUAUCAGCAGGGAAGAAGAUGACGGUACCUGACUAAGAAGCCCCGGCUAACUACGUGCCAGCAGCCGUGGUAAUACGUAGGGGGCAAGCGUUAUCCGGAUUUACUGGGUGUAAAGGGAGCGUAGACGGCAGGGCAAGUCUGGAGUGAAAGCCCGGGGCCCAACCCCGGGACUGCUUUGGAAACUGCCAUGCUAGAGUGCUGGAGAGGUAAGCGGAAUUCCUAGUGUAGCGGUGAAAUGCGUAGAUAUUAGGAGGAACACCAGUGGCGAAGGCGGCCUGCUGGACGAUGACUGACGUUGAGGCUCGAAAGCGUGGGGAGCAAACAGGAUUAGAUACCCCAGUA